rnacentral:rRNA from 1 species
GACGUAGGAUGCAAGCGUUGUCCGGAAUUAUUGGGCGUAAAGCGUUCGUAGGCGGUGAUUUAAGUCUGGUGUUAAAGCCCGGGGCUCAACCCCGGCAUGGCAUCGGAAACUGGAUCGCUAGAGUGCGGUAGAGGCAACUGGAAUUCCCGGUGUAGCGGUGAAAUGCGUAGAUAUCGGGAGGAACGCCAGCGGCGAAAGCGAGUUGCUGGGCCGUUACUGACGCUGAGGAACGAAAGCCAGGGGAGCGAAAGGG